rfam:Ciona savignyi cont_65156, whole genome shotgun sequence.
AAGACAAGUGAGUCUACUCAAUUACCGCGUGCCGUAACACCUUAACUACGAUGAUGAGUUAACGGGAUUUCUUCCGAGCAUGAAGCUUGAUUCGUUGACUCUUCGGAUGUUGCGAACUAUUAAGGAAUGUUCUUGGAUUUCCAUUCGAAAAUCUAUGAGGAAGGAAUCUUCCCCUGAGUAGU